UCUUUUUUUUAGGUACAACAUCCAGUGGAAACCCAAAAGACACCGACAGCACAUUGUCGUCUGCAUCCUGAUUGGCUGUUGGUCUCGUCAAUCAAUCCUCUCAGUUCCAUGUCUCUUGUACAGAACGUGUUCAGGUUGCCAAAUUCACAUAAAUCUUCAAUCGUGAUCAGAUCUUUCUUUUUUAUUCUAUAAUUUUGGACACAUGUUUUUUUUUUUUUUUCUAAAUAUUUAAACUGGGAAAAUGUGCAUGUGUGUCUGAAAAGGGGCAUAAUGUGUGUUGUGAGGGGCUUUAUAACCUUAAAUCUGUAAUCCUACUUUGUGGAUUUGUUUGGAGGAUGUAACCUCUGCCAUAAACGGGGAAACACUGUAAAGGAAAUAAGCUUAAAAUGCAUUUUCAAGUAUUUCUGUCUUUAAAUCCUUGUGAAUCAGACAAAAAAUUGUCUUUGUAUUUGUUGCAUAAAAAUACACUAGGCGGGCGACAAGCUCCCUUCUCCAUUCCAUUCUCAUGCAUCCACUUGCAGACAAAGAUCCACAAGAUCCUCGAACGUCUUUGUGUUCUUCAUCUGAGCUGGAAUCUGGAUCAAAACUGUACGACUGGAUCACUCCAAUUCUGCUGGCAGAGAAGUGUUAGGUUGGGCAUGAGGGGCUGUAAGCUAGCAGGAGAGAACAUUGAAAAUUUGAAAACUGAAAAAAAUAUGAAAACUUGAAAAAAAGACACUGUAAAUAAAAAAAA